UAACACGUAGGUAAUUUUCCUUCCAGCGGGGGACAACGUUUCGAAAGGAACGCUAAUACCGCGUACGUUUCCCGGGACUCCGGUCCUGGGAAGGAAAGCUAGGUAGCAAUAUCCGGCACUGGAUGAGAAGCCUGCGUAGCAUCAGCUAGUUGGUGGGGUAACGGCCUACCAAGGCGAAGACGCUUAGCUGGUCUGAGAGGAUGAUCAGCCACACUGAAACUGAGACACGGUUCAG
rnacentral:rRNA from 1 species